rnacentral:rRNA from 1 species
UACGAAGGGUGCAAGCGUUAAUCGGAAUUACUGGGCGUAAAGCGUGCGUAGGCGGUUUGUUAAGUCCGAUGUGAAAGCCCUGGGCUCAACCUGGGAAUGGCAUUGGAUACUGGCAGGCUAGAGUGCGGUAGAGGGGUGCGGAAUUCCCGGUGUAGCGGUGAAAUGCGUAGAGAUCGGGAGGAACAUCCGUGGCGAAGGCGGCACCCUGGACCAGCACUGACGCUGAGGCACGAAAGCGUGGGGAGCAAACAGG